rnacentral:rRNA from 1 species
AUUGAACGCUAGCGGCAGGCUUAACACAUGCAAGUCGAGCGAGUGGCGGACGGGUGAGUAAUGUAUGGGGAUGUGCCCGAUAGAGGGGGAUAACUACUGGAAAGAGUGGCUAAUACCGCAUACUAUUGGAUGAACCCAUAUGGGAUUAGCUAGUUGGUGGGGUAAAGGCUCACCAAGGCAACGAUCCCUAGCUGGUUUGAGAGGAUGAUCAGCCACACUGGGACUGAGACACGGCCCAGACUCCUACGGGAGGCAGCAGUGGGGAAUUUUGGACAAUGGGCGAAAGCCUGAUGCAGCCAUGCCGCGUGUAUGAUGAAGGCCUUAGGGUUGUAAAGUACUUUCAGCGGGGAAGCGUUAUCCGCAGAAGAAGCACCGGCUAACUCCGUGCCAGCAGCCGCGGUAAUUC